rnacentral:rRNA from 1 species
UUGAGGGACUAUCGGUGUUUACCGAUGGAAGUUUGAGGCAAUAACAGGUCUGUGAUGCCCUUAGAUGUACUGGGCCGCAUGCGCGCUACACUGAUGAAGUCAUCGAGUUCAUUUCCUUUAUCGGAAGAUAUGGGUAAUCUUUUGAAACUUCAUCGUGCUGGGGAUAGAGCAUUGCAACUAUUGCUCUUGAACGAGGAAUCCCUAGUAAGUACAAGCCACUAGCUUGUGCUGAUUACGUCCCUGCCCUUUGUACACACCGCCCGUCGCUACUACCGAUUGAAUGGCUUAGUGAGGCCCUCGGAUUGAGGCUCGGAGAUUGGCAACAGUUUCUUGGUUUUGAAAAGUUGGUCAAACUUGGUCAUUUAGAGGAAGUAAAAGUCGUAACAAGGUUUCCGUAGGUGAACCUGCGGAAGGAUCAUUA